rnacentral:rRNA from 1 species
UGAGGAAUAUUGGUCAAUGGACGCAAGUCUGAACCAGCCAUGCCGCGUGCAGGAAGACGGCUCUAUGAGUUGUAAACUGCUUUUGUACGAGGGUAAACCCCGGUACGUGUACCGGGCUGAAAGUAUCGUACGAAUAAGGAUCGGCUAACUCCGUGCCAGCAGCCGCGGUAAUACGGAGGAUCCGAGCGUUAUCCGGAUUUAUUGGGUUUAAAGGGUGCGUAGGCUGUUUGGUAAGUUAGAGGUGAAAUCUCGACGCUCAACGUCGAAACUGCCUCUGAUACUGCCGAGCUAGAGUACAGUUGCUGUGGGCGGAAUGAGUAGUGUAGCGGUGAAAUGCUUAGAUAUUACUCAGAACACCGAUUGCGAAGGCAGCUCACAAAGCUGUUACUGACGCUGAGGCACGAAAGCGUGGGGAGCGAACA